GACGAACGCUGGCGGCGUGCUUAACACAUGCAAGUCGAACGGGAAGGCCCUGCUUUUGUGGGGUGCUCGAGUGGCGAACGGGUGAGUAACACGUGAGUAACCUGCCCUUGACUUUGGGAUAACUUCAGGAAACUGGGGCUAAUACCGGAUAGGAGCUCCUGCUGCAUGGUGGGGGUUGGAAAGUUUCGGCGGUUGGGGAUGGACUCGCGGCUUAUCAGCUUGUUGGUGGGGUAGUGGCUUACCAAGGCUUUGACGGGUAGCCGGCCUGAGAGGGUGACCGGCCACAUUGGGACUGAGAUACGGCCCAGACUCCUACGGGAGGCAGCAGUGGGGAAUAUUGCACAAUGGGCGGAAGCCUGAUGCAGCAACGCCGCGUGCGGGAUGACGGCCUUCGGGUUGUAAACCGCUUUCGCCUGUGACGAAGCGUGAGUGACGGUAAUGGGUAAAGAAGCACCGGCUAACUACGUGCCAGCAGCCGCGGUGAUACGUAGGGUGCGAGCGUUGUCCGGAUUUAUUGGGCGUAAAGGGCUCGUAGGUGGUUGAUCGCGUCGGAAGUGUAAUCUUGGGGCUUAACCCUGAGCGUGCUUUCGAUACGGGUUGACUUGAGGAAGGUAGGGGAGAAUGGAAUUCCUGGUGGAGCGGUGGAAUGCGCAGAUAUCAGGAGGAACACCAGUGGCGAAGGCGGUUCUCUGGGCCUUUCCUGACGCUGAGGAGCGAAAGCGUGGGGAGCGAACAGGCUUAGAUACCCUGGUAGUCCACGCUGUAAACGGUGGGUACUAGGUGUGGGGUCCAUUCCACGGGUUCCGUGCCGUAGCUAACGCUUUAAGUACCCCGCCUGGGGAGUACGGCCGCAAGGCUAAAACUCAAAGGAAUUGACGGGGCCCCGCACAAGCGGCGGAGCAUGCGGAUUAAUUCGAUGCAACGCGUAGAACCUUACCUGGGUUUGACAUGGAUCGGGAGUGCUCAGAGAUGGGUGUGCCUCUUUUGGGGUCGGUUCACAGGUGGUGCAUGGCUGCCGUCAGCUCGUGUCGUGAGAUGUUGGGUUAAGUCCCGCAACGAGCGCAACCCUUGUUCACUGUUGCCAGCACGUUAUGGUGGGGACUCAGUGGAGACCGCCGGGGUCAACUCGGAGGAAGGUGGGGAUGACGUCAAGUCAUCAUGCCCCUUAUGUCCAGGGCUUCACGCAUGCUACAAUGGCUGGUACAGAGAGUGGCGAGCCUGUGAGGGUGAGCGAAUCUCGGAAAGCCGGUCUCAGUUCGGAUCGGGGUCUGCAACUCGACCUCAUGAAGUCGGAGUCGCUAGUAAUCGCAGAUCAGCAACGCUGCGGUGAAUACGUUCCCGGG
rnacentral:rRNA from 1 species